UACGUAGGGGGCUAGCGUUGUCCGGAUUUAUUGGGCGUAAAGAGCGUGUAGGCGGCCAGGUAGGUCUGCUGUGAAAACUCGAGGCUCAACCUCGAGCUGUCGGCGGAAACCAUCUGGCUAGAGUCCGGAAGAGGAGAGUGGAACUCCUGGUGUAGCGGUGAAAUGCGCAGAUAUCAGGAAGAACACCCGUGGCUAAGGCGGCUCUCUAGUACGUGACUGACGCUGAGACGCGAAAGCGUGGGGAGCGAACAGG
rnacentral:rRNA from 1 species